GGGGGUGACUGGUUUCGACUGGGGAGAGUAGCUCUAGGAGAAGCGGGCCGAGAAGCCAAGGUCGACUCGUUAACGUUCCUUGGAAAACAAUUAAGUGCCAACAAUCGCACUGACUUCGCUCUCGCUGCCUAAUUGUAGUGAUCGAAGGGUCAGCCCGGAUGUAGCCUUCCGUCCGGUUCCUGGCCUCGUUUAGAAGGCUUGCUGCACGUCUUUUGCUUGAGGCGGCGUGCGGGACUUUUAUCAAGCUAGGCUUGGCUGCAACUUGCCGACAUGAGUGCAGAAGCCGAGAAUACCGAAAACGUCGGCUGCGCCCGGAGAAAACCUGGACUGCCUUGUCAGGACGCGAGUUCAAUUCUCGCCACCUCCACCU
rnacentral:tmRNA from 1 species